rfam:Hordeum vulgare subsp. vulgare, WGS project CAJW01000000 data, contig: morex_contig_51619
GUUCUACUCCCUAUGUCGGGAAUUAUUUGUCAUAGAAAUGGAUGUAUCUAGACGUAUUUUUAGUUGUAAAUACAUCCAUUUCUAUUCAUUUCUGCGACAAGUAAUCUGGGACGGAGGGAGUAUUUG